rnacentral:rRNA from 1 species
UGAGGAAUAUUGGUCAAUGGUCGCAAGACUGAACCAGCCAUGCCGCGUGCAGGAAGACGGUCCUAUGGAUUGUAAACUGCUUUUAUACAGGAAGAAACCCUCCCACGUGUGGGAGCUUGACGGUACUGUAGGAAUAAGGAUCGGCUAACUCCGUGCCAGCAGCCGCGGUAAUACGGAGGAUCCAAGCGUUAUCCGGAAUCAUUGGGUUUAAAGGGUCCGUAGGCGGUCUUAUAAGUCAGUGGUGAAAGCCCAUCGCUCAACGAUGGAACUGCCAUUGAUACUGUAAGACUUGAAUGCUUAGGAAGUAACUAGAAUAUGUAGUGUAGCGGUGAAAUGCUUAGAUAUUACAUGGAAUACCAAUUGCGAAGGCAGGUUACUACUAAGUGAUUGACGCUGAUGGACGAAAGCGUGGGGAGCGAACAGGAUUAGAUACCCUGGUAGUCCACGCCGUAAACGAUGGAUACUAGCUGUUCGGCGCAAGUUGAGUGGCUAAGCGAAAGUGAUAAGUAUCCCACCUGGGGAGUACGCACGCAAGUGUGAAACUCAAAGGAAUUGACGGGGUCAUAGCUGUUUCC